UACGGGGGGGGCAAGCGUUGUUCGGAAUUACUGGGCGUAAAGGGCGCGUAGGCGGCCCGCUAAGUCGAACGUGAAAUCCCCAGGCUCAACCUGGGAACUGCGUCCGAUACUGGCAGGCUUGAAUCCGGGAGAGGGAUGUGGAAUUCCAGGUGUAGCGGUGAAAUGCGUAGAUAUCUGGAGGAACACCGGUGGCGAAGGCGGCAUCCUGGACCGGUAUUGACGCUGAGGCGCGAAAGCUAGGGGAGCAAACGGG
rnacentral:rRNA from 1 species